CCUACGGGAGGCAGCAGUAAGGAAUAUUGGUCAAUGGAGGCAACUCUGAACCAGCCAUGCCGCGUGCAGGAAGACGGCCCUAUGGGUUGUAAACUGCUUUUAUCUGGGAAUAAACCUAUUUACGUGUAAGUAGCUGAAUGUACCAGAAGAAUAAGGAUCGGCUAACUCCGUGCCAGCAGCCGCGGUAAUACGGAGGAUCCAAGCGUUAUCCGGAUUUAUUGGGUUUAAAGGGUGCGUAGGCGGCAGUUUAAGUCAGAGGUGAAAGACGGUAGCUCAACUAUCGCAGUGCCUUUGAUACUGAAUUGCUUGAAUGAACUAGAGGUAGGCGGAAUGAGACAAGUAGCGGUGAAAUGCAUAGAUAUGUCUCAGAACACCGAUUGCGAAGGCAGCUUACUAUGGUUUUAUUGACGCUGAGGCACGAAAGCGUGGGGAUCAAACAGGAUUAGAUACCCUGGUAGUCCACGCCCUAAACGAUGAAUACUCGCUGUUAGCGAUAUACAGUUAGCGGCUAAGCGAAAAGCGUUAAAGUAUUUCCCUACCGUACGGGUAGGUACGACGUCGCGAAGAGUAGAACGUACGAAAGGAAAGUUAGUACGGACGUAGAGACGUUGCCGACGGACGACGACGAGGGAGGAGG
rnacentral:rRNA from 1 species